rnacentral:rRNA from 1 species
UACGGGAGGCAGCAGUGGGGAAUAUUGCACAAUGGGCGCAAGCCUGAUGCAGCCAUGCCGCGUGUAUGAAGAAGGCCUUCGGGUUGUAAAGUACUUUCAGUCGUGAGGAAGGUGUUAAGGUUAAUAACCUUAGCAAUUGACGUUAGCGACAGAAGAAGCACCGGCUAACUCCGUGCCAGCAGCCGCGGUAAUACGGAGGGUGCGAGCGUUAAUCGGAAUUACUGGGCGUAAAGGGCACGCAGGCGGUUAAUUAAGUUGGAUGUGAAAUCCCCGGGCUUAACCUGGGAAUGGCAUUCAAGACUGGUUAGCUAGAGUCUUGUAGAGGGGGUAGAAUUCCAUGUGUAGCGGUGAAAUGCGUAGAGAUGUGGAGGAAUACCGGUGGCGAAGGCGGCCCCUGGGACAAAGACUGACGCUCAUGUGCGAAAGCGUGGGGAGCGAAACAGGAUUAGAUAC